UAAGGAAUAUUGGACAAUGGAGGCAACUCUGAUCCAGCCAUGCCGCGUGAGUGAUGAAGGCCUUCGGGUUGUAAAACUCUUUUAGGUGUGAAAAUGAUGAUGGUAACACCAGAAAAAGCUCCGGCUAACUUCGUGCCAGCAGCCGCGGUAAUACGAAGGGAGCGAGCGUUGUUCGGAAUCACUGGGCGUAAAGCGUGCGUAGGCGGUUUUGUAAGUAAGAAGUGAAAGCCUGGGGCUCAACCUCAGAAUUGCUUUUUAGACUGCAAAGCUAGAGUAUUGGAGAGGUUAGUGGAAUUCCGAGUGUAGAGGUGAAAUUCGCAGAUAUUCGGAGGAACACCAGUGGCGAAGGCGACUAACUGGACAAUUACUGACGCUGAGGCACGAAAGCGUGGGGAUCAAACAG
rnacentral:rRNA from 1 species